UGUAUAUUAUAAUCCUUUUUACAAGGAUAAAAAUAGAUGUUUUUAACUUAUUUAUACAAUUUAUUAAUGUUAUAAUUCGUAUGGUAAAGUCUUUUCUAUGAUCUAUCCAAAUAUAUAAUAUGUGUGCCUAAUAUAUAUGUAAGUUUUUAAUUUAAUGUACAUAAUCUAGAUACAUUAAUGGGAAAAUUUCAUGUUUACCACUUUCAUUGUACCAUUUUUCAUCUUUACCACCAAUAAAUAGACAUUUUCAAAAAUAUAUUUUUAAUUAAGUGGCAAACGACUCUUAUACCCUUGUUCUAUAUAUAUAUAAUAAAUCACUAUUUAAAUAAAAAUUAAAAAAUAUGUUUUUGAAUUAUACUUUUUCAAAUUCGAACUUUUUUAUAAUUUUUUUUGUGAUUUUUUUUUGUAAAUUUUUUUUUCAAAUUUUUUUUUUCAAAUUGAAAAUUAUGUUUGAUGUAUUUGGUGUUAGGAGACAAGUUCCCAGAGAUCAAUCGGUUGGAUUUCGGUCCACCGAAUAUCCCGGAUCAACAAAAGAAAAGUUGAAAUAAUUUUUAAUUUUUAAUAUCUAUAUAAUAGAAUGAUAAUUUGAAAUUUAUUUAAUAAUAAAAAUAAUUUGUCUCUUUACAAUUGAAGAAGAAUGAAGGAAAAAUGUGUUUGAUAUUAUACUUCAAUUCUUAUAGAUGAUGUAAAUUUUGAAAUGUCAUGCUUUCUCUUAUUGUUACCUCUACAUGUGUUACCAACUGAAGCAUUAGUCACGCAACUAUAUUUGUUUUUCAUGUAGUACUAGGUGUUGUGCAUGCAUAUGCAGACAUAAUUUUUUUACGAAUAUUUAUUUUUUUAAAUCAAAUCAGUACAGUAAUACAAAUUUUUAGCCAAAUUAACUUUUCAAUUUACUAUAAGCGUAAUGAUUCAAUAUUUGAGAGGAUGCAUACUAAAAAGAGAGGAAUAGAUUUGAGCAUCAACAAUUCAUAUACGUCUAUUACAAUUUAGUGAUUUAUGUUUCCAAAAGAAUAUAAUUGUUUAUUUAUUUAAUUUAAUUUUUUUUUUAAUGUAAAGUUUUAUGAUCUAAUUGUGUUAAUAUGUUUGUUGAAUUUUUUUAUAUUUGAUUAAUAUAUUAAGUGUAUGUUCGAAUAACCUGUAAAAACUAUACUCAUAAAAAUAUCAAUAAUAACAUUUUCCAUCAUAUAUUAAAUAUUAAUAGUAGCUAACUAUUAAUAUAUAUAUUAAUUUUUAUUUAUAUUUAUAUAUAUGUACAUUUAAUUUUAAUACUUUAACUCCAAAAUUUAUAUUUUUAUAUAUUUGGUGAGAGUUUUGAAAUCUGGUUAACUUAAAAAAAAAUUAUUCUAAAUAAAACUAGUAAAUUCAAAUAUUUCCAGUUCUUAGAUAUUUUAAUUUCAAAUAACUAAUAUUAUCUAUAUAAAAAUAAUUUAAAUAUAUUGAUUAUUUGAAAUAUAAAUAUAAAUGUAUAAUUGUAGUUUCAAAAUUAAUAUUUUGAUUAUCGUUGCAAAAUUAAUUUGAUCCGUAUAUUCAAAUAUUUUUUAAAAUUUAAGUCUAUAUGUUAUUUAAUUAAAUUUCAGAUCAUAUAAUUUGGUUUUAAUUUAUUUAUUCAACAUACCAAAAAUUUAACUAAACUUAUUUGAAAAUCAAAAGCAUGAACUUUGCCAAAUCUAUAGUAUUUGUUUCUUAUUUUUUUUAGUAAAUUAAAGAAAUAAAUUUACUUAAAUUUAGAUAUAGAAGAUUUCUUUAAAAAUUCAGUACAUAUUGUUUAAAUAUAGAUUUUUCGGUUAUUGUUUAAAUAUAGAUUUUUUACCAAAACUUGAAGAUUUUUACCGAUAAAAUAGAUUUUUAUCUAAAUUAAAAAAAAAAGUAAAAUCUGAAUUUUCCUUUUCGAUGUUGUGGCAAGAGAGCGUGAGGACCACGUUCUGAGAUUCUUUGCGGGCCAUGAUAGACGCAUGACUCAUGCUCCAUUAAUGUUAAAAAUUGUCGAUACUUCUAAUAUGUCUCCCCAUAACAAUACUAUGCUAAUAUUCAUUUUCUUUAUAAAAUUAACACAGUAUAACGUAAAAUAAAAGAGUCAAAAACUGUUAUGGUUAGUUCUGUAAAAAACGGAAGGCACAUUAACUAUUUUAGUUGGUCAAUGAAUGUGAAUAGGCUAUAAAUUAGUAAAGAUUAACUUGCAGAAUAAUAUUAAAUUCCUAAUUGGUUGUUACAGAAAAAACUGAAUAUUUCAUUCCCAUUUUUGUCGCUCUUUCGUUUUGACCAUUACUAAAAAAAAAAAGGUGUAUAUCUAUACUAUACUAAAAGAAGAAUAAACUCCACAGCUAAGGUGUCCACAUCAGCAAAUUAAUUCGAGCCAAUCAGAUUCUAAAUAUAUGCCAUGUCAGCACGACCUUAAUCUUCCUUGCAAAUUUGUCGAUCAAAAUCCCAGAAACAGAUCAUUUGCUCACCCCGUUACAAUCUCUACAUCUCUUUUUCUCUCUUCUCCGAGCUUCUCCGUUGGGUGAACGACUACUGUUGAAUUGAUUUCUUCCUUUCGAUUCGAUUCUCUCUACCGAUUACUAAGGUUCUCUCUCUCUCCAUAGAUCAUCUCUCCUUUGUUUAUCCGCGAACGUAUCUCUCUAUUCUGAGCAGUUAGAUAGCCACCUUCUUUCUCUUCUCUUCUAAUUUAGUCUUUUGAUAGAUCUGAUUGAGAUUUUUUGAGGGUUUCAUCUUUCCAGCUUAUGGGUUUCGAUAAAGCCUCUUCCUUUACUUACGAUCACCCAUCUGCUAUUGGUUCAUCAAUGGCUGUUGAGAAAGGUUGGUCGUGACUGAAGCUUGACUCCGGAGAUGAAGAACUCGCCGUGAAAGCUUGGUCGCGGUAAAGCUCCGAGAUGGUGAGGUUGAAGACGACUCGACAGAGACGAAGCUUUCACUGAGAAGAGCACGGCUUGACGAAGCGGGUAAGAAACAUCGGGUUGGAGCGACGAAGCCUAACCGUUCGUUCCAGUUUCGAAUCAUCACAAGUGCUGGAGCGGGCAACGCACAGCGGGUUGAUGAAGUGGCCGUACCAUGAGCGUGCGCUGGAGCAGGUGGUGCUAGCGAGGAGAAGAAACCGCUCGGGACCUCAAACAAACUCGAAGCUGCACAGCAGCUUCUCAAAACAGGCUGAUGAAACCGCUGUGGUCAUUGCACUGCUCGGAGCAGCUUAGUGGAGCGAGGAGAAGAGGCCGCUCGCUUUGGUGAUCGUUGUGGAAUUUGCCAGGUUCAUUCUUAUCAAGGAUAAUGAGUAACAGGAGCAGCAGCAAUCGUUUUGAUUAUUUAAAGUUGCAAGCUUUUUUCUAGAUUUAGGACAAACUUUCAGUUAUGAGUGCAUCAUGGGCAGAUGUGGCUGACUCUGAGAAGGCUGCUUCCAGGGCAAAGCCUGCUUAUGUUCCCACACAUCUAAGGAACAUGCAGUCUGAGCCUGUUGCUACUUUGCCACAAAAUGAUCGUCCGGGGUAUGGUGGUCAACCGUCUAGAUGGGCUCCUGGAGGUGGAGUUGGUGGAGGCGGUGGCUACAGGAAUGAUGUAGGGAGGACGAGUAAGUGGUGGUGGUGGCUGGAACAACAGAGGUGGAGGAUGGGACCGUGAAGUUAAUCCGUUUGGAGAUGAUGCUGAUUUAGAACCUGCCGUUCAGGAGAAUACUGGCAUUAAUUUUGAUGCUUAUGAAGAUAUUCCCAUCGAGACCAGUUGAGGAUACGUGCCUCCUCCUGUUAACACUUUUGCUGACAUUGAUUUUGGGGAGGCGUUGAAUCUCAACAUCAGGAGGUGUAAGUACGUGAGGACAACACCUGUACAGCGUCACGCCAUUCCGAUACUUCUUGCAGAGAGGGAUUGAUGGCAUGUGCUUAGACAGGGUCUGUGAAGACUGCUGCCUUUUGCUUUCCGAUAAUUAGUGGAAUCAUGAGAGAUCAGCACCUUCAGAGACCUCGUGGUUCACGGACCGUUUACCCUCUUGCAAUUAUCCUCUCACCAACAAGGGAGCUGGCAUCUCAGAUUCAUGAAGCGAAAACAUUCACAUGCCAAACUGGUGUGAAGGUCAUUGUUGCUUACGGAGGAACACCUAUUAACCAGCAGGUAAUUAUCAUGCACAUGUAAUUUUUCUUUCUUGGUUGUCCACCUUUGUCUUUGGAUAUUGUUUUAUGUUUUAUAGGGGUGUUGUCUAUUUUAAGUUAAUAGCAGCUUACGGCUUACUGGUUUGGGGUCUGCUAGCUCUAUUCUUCCUUAUAUCAGUCUCAUUUUUGAAAUUAUGUUUUGAUUUUGAAGUCAGCAGUGCAUGAUUAAUAUUGUAUCGUACAUAACAUCAUGUUUAACGUGAUCCUCAUCCUCUUCA